GCUUGUGUGGCUCAAUGGCUGAGCAUCGGCCUGCAGACCGAAGGGUCCCAGGUUCGAUUCCAGUCAAGGGCA
rnacentral:tRNA from 1 species